rnacentral:rRNA from 1 species
AGCGAACGCUGGCGGCAGGCUUAACACAUGCAAGUCGAACGGGCGUAGCAAUACGUCAGUGGCAGACGGGUGAGUAACGCGUGGGAACGUACCUUUUGGUUCGGAACAACACAGGGAAACUUGUGCUAAUACCGGAUAAGCCCUUACGGGAAAGGAUUAUCGCCAAAAGAAUCGGCCCGCGUCUGAUUAGCUAGUUGGUGAGGUAACGGCUCACCAAGGCGACGAUCAGUAGCUGGUCNGAGAGGAUGAUCAGCCACAUUGGGACUGAGACACGGCCCAAACU